AGUGAACGCUGGCGGUAGGCCUAACACAUGCAAGUCGAACGGCAGCACAGUAAGAGCUUGCUCUUACGGGUGGCGAGUGGCGGACGGGUGAGGAAUACAUCGGAAUCUACUUUUUCGUGGGGGAUAACGUAGGGAAACUUACGCUAAUACCGCAUACGACCUACGGGUGAAAGCAGGGGAUCUUCGGACCUUGCGCGAAUGAAUGAGCCGAUGUCGGAUUAGCUAGUUGGCGGGGUAAAGGCCCACCAAGGCGACGAUCCGUAGCUGGUCUGAGAGGAUGAUCAGCCACACUGGAACUGAGACACGGUCCAGACUCCUACGGGAGGCAGCAGUGGGGAAAAUUGGACAAUGGGCGCAAGCCUGAUCCAGCCAUACCGCGUGGGUGAAGAAGGCCUUCGGGUUGUAAAGCCCUUUUGUUGGGAAAGAAAAGCAGCAGGUUAAUACCCCGCUGUUCUGACGGUACCCAAAGAAUAAGCACCGGCUAACUUCGUG
rnacentral:rRNA from 1 species